UACGUAGGCAGCGAGCGUUGUUCGGAAUUACUGGGCGUAAAGAGUGUGUAGGCGGAUUGCUAAGUCAGGGGGUGAAAUCCUGGACUCAACUCCAGAACUGCCCUUGAUACUGGCGGUCUCGAGUCCGGGAGAGGUGAGUGGAACUGCGAGUGUAGAGGUGAAAUUCGUAGAUAUUCGCAAGAACACCAGUGGCGAAGGGCGGCUCACUGGCCCGGUACUGACGCUGAGGUGCGAAAGCGUGGGGAGCAAACAGG
rnacentral:rRNA from 1 species